rnacentral:rRNA from 1 species
AUUGAACGCUGGCGGCAUGCCUUACACAUGCAAGUCGAACGGCAGCACGGGUGCUUGCACCUGGUGGCGAGUGGCGAACGGGUGAGUAAUACAUCGGAACAUGUCCUGUAGUGGGGGAUAGCCCGGCGAAAGCCGGAUUAAUACCGCAUACGAUCCACGGAUGAAAGCGGGGGACCUUCGGGCCUCGCGCUAUAGGGUUGGCCGAUGGCUGAUUAGCUAGUUGGUGGGGUAAAGGCCUACCAAGGCGACGAUCAGUAGCUGGUCUGAGAGGACGACCAGCAAGAAGAGGAAGGAGAAACGGCAAAGAAAACUAAGGGAGAAGAAAGGGGGGAAUUUAGGAAAAGGGGGAAAAGCGGGAAAAAGAAAUGCGGGGGGUGAAAAGAAGACAUGGGGGUUAAAAAACAGUUUGGAAGGAAAAAAAAUCCUGACAUCAAAUACAGGCGGGGGAGGAGGGAACAGAAAAAAAAAGAACCGGAAAAAUAGGGA